rnacentral:rRNA from 1 species
AGAGUUUGAUCCUGGCUCAGAUUGAACGCUGGCGGUAUGCUUAACACAUGCAAGUCGAACGGAAACGAUGGAAGCUUGCUUCCAGGCGUCGAGUGGCGGACGGGUGAGUAAUACUUAGGAAUCUGCCCAGUAGUGGGGGACAACACGGGGAAACUCGUGCUAAUACCGCAUACGCCCUAAGGGGGAAAGUGAGGGAUCUUCGGACCUCACGCUAUUGGAUGAGCCUAAGUCGGAUUAGCUUGUUGGUGAGGUAAAGGCUCACCAAGGCUACGAUCCGUAGCUGGUCUGAGAGGACGAUCAGCCACACUGGGACUGAGACACGGCCCAGACUCCUACGGGAGGCAGCAGUGGGGAAUAUUGGACAAUGGGCGCAAGCCUGAUCCAGCAAUACCGCGUGUGUGAAGAAGGCCUGCGGGUUGUAAAGCACUUUCAGUAGGGAGGAAAAGCUUAGGGUUAAUAGCUCUGAGUCUUGACGUAACCUACAGAAGAAGAUCCGGCUAACUCCGUGCCAGCAGCCGCGGUAAUACGGGGGGAUCGAGCGUUAAUCGGAAUUACUGGGCGUAAAGCGCGCGUAGGCGGUUUGAUCAGUCGGAUGUGAAAGCCCUGGGCUCAACCUGGGAAUUGCAUUCGAUACUGUCAAGCUAGAAUGUUGGAGAGGCAAGUGGAAUUUCCGGUGUAGCGGUGAAAUGCGUAGAGAUCGGAAGGAACACCAGUGGCGAAGGCGGCUUGCUGGCCAAACAUUGACGCUGAGGUGCGAAAGCGUGGGUAGCGAACAGGAUUAGAUACCCUGGUAGUCCACGCCGUAAACGAUGAGAACUAGUUGUCGGGAGGGUUUAGCCUCUCGGUGACGCAGCUAACGCGUUAAGUUCUCCGCCUGGGGAGUACGGUGGCAACACUAAAACUCAAAGGAAUUGACGG